UACAGAGGUCCCGAGCGUUGUUCGGAUUCACUGGGCGUAAAGGGUGCGCAGGUGGGUUUGCAAGUUUGAUGUGAAAGCCCCGGGCUUAACCCGGAAUGGCAUUGAAUACUGCAGAUCUGGAGGAUUGGAGGGGACUGGAAUUCUUGGUGUAGCAGUGAAAUGCGUAGAUAUCAAGAGGAACACCAGUGGCGAAGGCGAGUCCCUGGACAAUACCUGACACUGAGGUGCGAAAGCGUGGGAGCAAACAGG
rnacentral:rRNA from 1 species